GCAAAGUGUAAUGGAAAGUCUUCAUGUUUGUUAAAAGCAUCGAAUGAUGUAUUUGGAGAUCCUUGUGUAGGAACUUACAAAUACCUAGAAGUUGAACAUAUUUGCCGUUAACUCUUAAUCUUAUAAUUUGCAAAUGAAUGUCUUCAGAUGUAACGGAGAACACACUUCAAAAGAUGUGUAAAUAUAAGAUUCGAAAAAAAUAUGUGUCAUUAAAAUUAAAGAUAAAUAUGUUUUUCUGAAUUUUUUUAUACUUCAUUAUCUACUUAAUAAACAUACAGUGAACUAUGGUUAAGAUAAAUGAUAAACCAUGAAGAGAAUAUUAGGUUAUACGCUGGUAAGUCACUAAAUAACUCAUAAAAUCGACAAAAAGGUUCAUGGCAACUUCCAUUUGAAAUAAUGUUAUUGCGGUUUUACCAAGAGUAUUUCAUUUAGAUAAAAACACAAUACCUUGUAGAAUGUUUCGUCCUAAUCAUACGAACACUUUCCGAAAAUUAUCUCACAUUGAUGUUACUUUUCUACCCCUAUUCUAUCAGUUUCGAUGAUUGUUUACACCAUUUGACUACCCCUACAUCAAAAAGAUUAAUUUAUAUUGAUUGAGCUAUAUUAUUUCCUUAAUGUCCAUUUGCAUAUAUAUCAUGCAUGUUCAGGACAAGGUCAAAUUAACAAUCAAAACAAUAUGUAGGUUCCGCCGGUUGGGGUCGCCCAGGAGGAAGAGAGAAAAAUUGAACUUGAAAAUGAAAAUUGCCAUCAUUCGCAAUUACCUAGCCCUCCAUUGUAAAAUACAGAAAACAACCAUUUAGAAAAAAAAAACAUAUAUUUUGUCAAUGUAUUGCGAUAAUUUUAACACUGAUCAAAAUAACGAAUUGUUACUUUACCAGAUAGCGAAUAUGAAAUCCUGCCUUUUUUCUACCAGUCAAUCAAAAUUAAAAUAUGCUCCAUAUUUCUUUUUUUUCGCGUUAUUGAUCAACCCUUGUUUUGAUUUACGUCCAGUGGCAAAUAUUUCAUUUAAGUUAAGGACGAGAGCAAAUUAACAAUUACUAGUAAUUAGCGUCCCCAUUCUCAGCGGACGUGGC
rnacentral:lncRNA from 1 species